GGAGAGUGGAGCGGGGCGCGGGCGGGCUGUUGGAGGCACUCUCGCUGAGGAGGUAGUGAAAACAUGACCGAGGACCUCGUGAACUCAUUAAUAACCCUGAGGAGGGUUGAGGGCGGGCUUCGCGAGUAUUAUCAGUUUAGAAAAGGAAUUUAUUGGAAGGAAAUUGGAUAGCUAAAAUAAUAAAUAGGACGUCUGCAGAACCAAGCUUAGCAAUGGGAAGGAAUCAAGAGAGACUGGCCGGCAAAGACAUAGAGAUGCAAACCUACACUAUGAAUGUAACCCCGUGCAUCUGUUAGUACCAACUGCCUAUCUCCUCUUAGAAGGUGAAGAGUGGACGGUGAGGAUUCACUUCUCAGGCCAAGACAAGAAAGGAGACCAGCUUGUGAUGGAAGCACAGAGCCAACCAGGAAGGCACUGUAUACUCUUCAAGAAGUAGUCUUCUUCCCCCACUAGACGUGACAAGUCAAAGUCGCAACUGCUGCUAGAGAUCACUUAGUGGUUUUCAAAUGUCCUCAUCCAGUUUUGGUACCAAAGUAGCAUCAUAAAAUCAGUUGAAUAGAACACUGAGUUUUAGCUGAGCACAUGGCUAUCCAGUUAAAGACCACAUUUCCCAGUGUCCCCUGUGGCUAAAUGGAGACGUGAAGCCAAUGAGAUGUGGCAGAAGUGAUACGUAUAACCUCUGUGGCAUCUCCUUAGAGUGCUUGCCCUGGACUAUUUUUAUCCUUCCUACACACUGAAACGUGGGUGUGUAAAGGAGCCAGCUUCAACCAUUGAAAUGAGAAUGUCCUAUAACCACAGGAAUGAGGAGGUGAUGGAGCAUCAAGAUAGAAGGAACCGUAUUUUGGAUGACCUCCUGGAGGAGAUCCUGCCAGACUGGGACUUCUUGCCUGUGGACUCUUUUGAGUAUGAUAUAUAUUUUAUUUAUUCAACUGUUCUUUGACAUCGCUCAGUAAAUUCAUGUAAAGACUUUAAAGCAUGCAACGAUAACCUAGGAAUGAGAAAAUUAAUUCUACCUGAAGAGAUCUGGGAAGACAUUUUUAUGGCCCGAAAGAGGAGAGCUCUACAAAUGUAGUCAAAUGAGAUCAAGGUAGAGAAAUUUCUCCACAAAUUUCUUGGUCAUCAAGGAAGUAAUUAUUGGCAGGAUCCCAGCUCUGCCCCUCAGAUGCAGGUUAAAAUCACCAUCCUCAAAGCUACCUGGAGGUGGAUUAAGGUGGAAUAAGGAUUAAGAAUGCCAACUUGGAAGUCAGACUGGGUGUUUGAAUUAUGACCCUUUGACCUCUAGUUGUGUGACUUUGGAUGUAAACCAAAUAACAUUGCAACCCUGCAAUGCCGAAUGAAGAUCGUAUAGCACAUUUUGAAUCAGAUAAGACCCAACCCCAAAUUAAAAUGAGCGAUGAAACAAUUUAUAAUGCUAUAUAUUAUCAUGAUGCAACAUGCGUUAUUAUAAUUGUACAGUUGACUAUUAUGCCGUGCCAAACGUGUACCAGAGAGCUUGUCUGGCUUUUAAUGGCUGGGAGCACACAGGUGGUGUAUGUAAUACUAAUACCAGCUAAUGUUAAUGACAUGCUUACCCGGGGCUAGGCACUGCUUUAAGAUCUUGACAUGUAUUAGCUCAUUUAAUCUUCACUUAUUUGUCCUGUGUGAUUAUUAUAGGAGUGUAUAUGAGCAGAUGUGCAUUUCAAAAUAUGACUAGUACUCAGAUAAACCCUAUCUAAUUAAAAAACGCCCUUAUAAGAAAUUCAAAUGCGCACAUGCACAUACAUACACACACAUACAUGUGUGUGCGUCCAUGUGCUCGUGAAGUUAACCAAAUAGCACAAAUAAUGCAUUGAUGGUAUCUAAUGCAUUAAAAUUUGGUAUCAAACUUAGGUAUGUAUGUAUUGUACUUUAUUACACUUCAAAUUGCUUAAAUAUUUAUCAUAAAAAUGAAAUAUGAAUUAAAUGCUUGCAGGCUCCCUGAAGCUUAUUGGAGCUCUCCAUAACAAUUUGAAAACCAAAGCAUUAAACCUUAUUACUCAUUUACACUGGAGUGUGAAAGGCGCCAAAUCAGAUCCUCUUCUGCACACAAAGGUGUAAAAAAGGGAGAAGUAUGAGAUUUUUAAUAUUCAUUAAUUUUUCAGAAAGACAGGAACAUUAUUAGGCACUUAUUAUGUUCCAGCAAUGUCAAUAUAUUAUCUAUAAUCCCCAUAACACCCUUGCCUAGUAGACACCAUUAUUCUGAUGUUACAGAAGAGGAAACGGAGGACCUGAGAUGUUAAUUUGCUUACCUCGGGGUACACAACUGGAAAAAUGGCAGCUUUCCCAGCACUCCAAACCAAAGCAGAACUAAAAUUCUCAAUAGUGACAACGUCCAAAGGCAGUACACCACUUCUACUGCCACCACAUUGGUGGAGUGGGCUAUAGUCAAGAAGAAUAUGAAAAGUCAUUGUCUUCUUGAAAACUCUUUCAAGACAACCUGAGGAGAAAGCUGCCUUUAAUGACAGAAACAGGGAUGUGGUACAUGCCAUCACAGUCCUUGGGUAAUGACUACGUGUCAUAAAUAAGAUAUGGCAUUUCUGAAUGACUUUAAACUAUUUCCUUUUGUUCAACUAAUUUAAUUUACCAAAUGCUCCUGGAGAAAGGGAGGGGGACCAAGAUGCUGACUCUGCAUUUCCUGGAAAAUCAACAUUUUCUUUUUAAACUGUCCUCAGAGAAAUUCUGUCUGAUUGUUGUCUGCUGGCUCCCUCAAACCCUACCUCUGUCAAAAUUCUGCCCUGGCGGGUGUGAGAAAAAAUAGAUGCAGAACUUGAGUGAAUACCCACAUCUGUUUUUUUUUUGUUUUUUUUUUUUUAACAUCUUUAUUGGAGUAUAAUUGCUUUACAGUGGUGUGUUAGUUUCUGCUUUAUAACAAAGUGAAUCAGUUAUACAUAUACAUAUACAUCUGUUUUUGGAAAAAAGCAACAGAAGCAGCACAGAAGGAAGUAAAAGAGAUAAUUGCUGGCUUGAACUGCAAUACAUUUUACUUGUGGGCAGAGGGCCAGCUUACAGCAGGCGGAAUAUGCAGGCCCAUCUUAUUGGAAUUCAGGGGUGGGCCUCCAUUCUUGUCCGGAGACAGCUG